CGGACCCAGAUCAGGCAGGAUUACCCGCUGAAUUUAA
rnacentral:rRNA from 1 species